CAGGCCUUGACUUAAGGCUAGCAGUUAUAUUAUAGCUGUUGGUUUCAAGCAGAGGCCCACAGGACUAUCUUCCUGUGGUAUGUUGGCUGUUCAGGAACCUCAGGAGAGAAUGGCCAUUUCAUUGGAAGAAACAAUG
ensembl:snoRNA